UAAGUAUAUUUAUUUUAUACACCCAUAUCCCUGCUGAGCCAUGUCUAUAAGUUGUUCUCGAAAGUCAUCACGAAUCGUCUCGCUCGUAGGUUUCCAGCCUCCCGAACAAGCCGUAUUCCGAAUAGGCUUCAGUACCAUAGAUCACACCCACACUGUUACGGCAGGUU